AGGACGAACGCUGGCGGCAUGCCUAACACAUGCAAGUCGAACGGGAUGGAGCCUUCGGGCUCCGGCGAGUGGCGAACGGGUGAGUAACACGUGGGUAACCUACCUUUCACUGGGGGACAACCGAGGGAAACUUCGGCUAAUACCGCAUGAUGUGCGAUGCCAUGAGGUGUCGUACCAAAACUCCGGUGGUGAAAGAUGGGCCCGCGGCGGAUUAGCUAGAUGGUGGGGUAAUGGCCUACCAUGGCGACGAUCCGUAGCUGGUCUGAGAGGACGAUCAGCCACACUGGGACUGAGACACGGCCCAGACUCCUACGGGAAGCAGCAGUGGGGAAUCUUGCGCAAUGGGCGAAAGCCUGACGCAGCAAUGCCGCGUGAGGGAAGAAGGUCUUAGGAUUGUAAACCUCUUUCAGCAGGAAGAAAACAGACGUACUGCAGAAGAAGCCCCGCUAACUACGUGCCAGCAGCCGAC
rnacentral:rRNA from 1 species